GCUUGUCUCAAAGAUUAAGCCAUGCACGUGUAAGUAUAAAAUAACCUAUACUAUUGAAACUGCGAAUGGCUCAUUAUAUCAGUUAUAGUUUACAUGAUAAUAAUUUUCUACUUGGAUACCCGUAGUAAUUCUAGAGCUAAUACAUGCUAAAAACCCCGACUUCGGGAGGGGUGUAUUUAUUAGAUAAAAAACCAAUGCCCCUCGGGGCUCCUUGGUGAAUCAUAAUAACUUAACGAAUCGCAUGGCCUUGCGCCGGCGAUGGUUCAUUCAAAUUUCUGCCCUAUCAACUUUCGAUGGUAGGAUAGUGGCCUACCAUGGUGGCAACGGGUAACGGGGAAUUAGGGUUCGAUUCCGGAGAGGGAGCCUGAGAAACGGCUACCACAUCCAAGGAAGGCAGCAGG
rnacentral:rRNA from 1 species